ensembl:lncRNA
AUGCUCUUUAUAAUCACCUGGCAUAUCCCUCACCCAAAUUACUAUCAAACAAAUCAGAUUAUACACCAUGACACAGAGCUCACAUUGGUUUGAAUCGUUGUCUUUCCUGCCAGAGGCCAGAGGCUACGUGUGACCAGACUGAUGGUUACAUAGCCCACUUGUUUUGUUUGUAGAAUUGAUUUCCAUGCCGAUUAUCUAUGAGUCAGCCACCGGAUAUGCACGGACGGGAGCAUAGGGUGCACUUAUGCAAACUCAACUGAGGAACUCUAGGUUUGACGUCAGUAGACCACUGUUUGAAGUGUUGACUGUGGGGAUUUGUGUGUUUUCACAUCAACAGAUUUUCUAGAUGGGGGAGGAAGAGAGAUACAUUAGCACUGCGAGUGCAGAAGUUGCUACUCUAGUGUCACCAUAGGGUUACCACGGAGUUGGACUUGUUCCUGUGUGACACCGCUCCUUGGCCUCACCUCAGUUAGAACCAGCAUCAACAGUUAUCAAGGCGUUCCUCCAAAGUAUAUUUGAAAAUAGAAUCGUUGUUAUCCCUGUUUGUGUAAAGUCGACCGCGUUGCCGCUGUCCGUGGUGCUGAAGACAUUCUGCUGCCCGACGAAACAGUGCGUGAGCCGUAAAUGUCUCUCGUGAGGCGCCUCUCUAUUUUUAAGGAGAAAACAGAUGCUUGGUAGUGGCUGAAAAGUUUAAACCUAUCCUAGAAGUGAGCUCGUAACUAAAUCUCUCAAACAUUUGUAAAUGUUUUCAAUAGUAUCCUCUAUCAAUACAACUUGGAUGGGUCACUGACUCUAGACACAAAGUUGAAUUCUUAGCUCUUGUGUGUCAGAAACGCACCGGGUUGUUCUUUAAAUUCAGCCCCGGGUACCGUGUUCAGCACCAUGGACAGCGCUGGUCAUUCCAGCUCUUUGAAGGAUCUUCCAAGGCGUAUUUCUGAUCUAUUUUCAUGCCCCAUGUCGUAUCCGCCGUGGAUAUGCCCCGCACAGCAGGACACCGGGGCUAGAGACAGCUGGAGGGAUCAUUGAACACAUUGGCCUUCUGUUCAAUGCACCUUCCAGAGGUUACACUGCUGACCCCUUUACCCCCCGUAUAGUGUCCCCUUAGUAUGGAGACGCAUCGCAAUGCUGUUUGUAGACGUUCGCGACUCGCGCUGUGUCUUUAAAGCAACGUGAUCGGGAGUCGUCUGCAUGUGCGCAUGAAUGACGCAACACUGACUUCAUCUCUAGAACGCGUCACGAUGUCAUUUCAACAUGAAAAAAACAACAACAACUGGCGAACCAAGGAGAGGACAUCUGCUCCAUCUACAGUGGUGUUGCUGGAUUUUCUGCUGAUGGCUGAUUUUUCAUGUAUGUGUAGAAGUGAGAGGGCUGCGGUUAACGGAAGCGGGAGGGCGUGACAGCGAUGAUUCACUUGUUUAUUGUCAGCAGGGGGGCGACAAAGAGAAGGGCUUCACCAGUUUCCAGUGGUCCAAAACCCAGUGAGCUACAACGUUGUUCUGGCUUCAGUUACAGACUCCAUCUCUGGGCUUCUGCCGUGGCCUCAAACCCUUGGAUGGGCUUCUUCCUGUCAUACAUGUCACAAAACUCAAGAUAAAUGCAACUACUGUCAUGAUCCAAUUGAUAUGAUGUAAAAUCAGCAGCAGCAUCUUCUCGUACCGUCUAUCUCUCUGUGAUCUCUUUUUUUCCUCCACAGGAUGUAGUUUUAUCUACGUAAACAUGACUCUUUCUUUGUUGCAUGUGAAUGAGGAUCUUAAGAGAGUUAAUAAACGAUGAGCUGCACUUGAUGAAGUCCAUACAUUUCUAGAUCAUUUAUUACAUUUUGAGAAAUUCAAAUGUGUCAAAGAUCCUCUAGGGAAAAAGAUCAAGUUCGAAUACAGCUGAAAAUACCGACAUGAAAUGAUAUUCCCUUCACUGCGUGCAGGAAAUAAAUUAAAUUGUACAGGGUAUUGGAUAUAGGAUAAAU